rnacentral:tRNA from 1 species
GGCUGCCUGGUGGAACUGGCAGACACGCUGGCCUUAGGAGCCAGUGCCCUUGGGGCGUCCGAGUUCAAAUCUCGGGGCAGCCACCA